GUGAGGAAUAUUGGACAAUGGAUGGAAAUCUGAUCCAGCCAUGCCGCGUGCAGGAAGACGGCCCUAUGGGUUGUAAACUGCUUUUGUAUGGGAGCAAUAAGGGUUACGAGUAGCCUGAUGAGAGUACCAUACGAAUAAGGACCGGCUAACUCCGUGCCAGCAGCCGCGGUAAUACGGAGGGUCCGAGCGUUAUCCGGAUUUAUUGGGUUUAAAGGGUGCAUAGGCGGUUUUAUAAGUCAGCGGUGAAAUUUUCCGGCUCAACCGGGGGACUGCCGUUGAUACUGUAAGGCUAGGAUAUGGUUGCUGUGGGUGGAAUGUGUGGUGUAGCGGUGAAAUGCUUAGAGAUCACACAGAAUAUCGAUUGCGAAGGCAGCUCACAAAGCCAUCAUUGACGCUGAGGCACGAAAGUGUGGGGAUCAAACAGGAUUAGAUACCCGGGUAGUCC
rnacentral:rRNA from 1 species